CAGUAGCCACGGGAAAACGGAGGGUGCAAGCGUUAAUCGGAAUUACUGGGCGUAAAGCGUGCGCAGGCGGUUUGUUAAGACAGAUGUGAAAUCCCCGGGCUCAACCUGGGAACUGCAUUUGUGACUGGCAAGCUAGAGUAUGGCAGAGGGGGGUGGAGUUCCGCGUGUAGCAGUGAAAUGCGUAGAUAUGCGGAGGAACACCGAUGGCGAAGGCAAUCCUCUGGGCCUGUACUGACGCUGAGGCACGAAAGCGUGGGGAGCAAACAGGAUUAGAUACCCGCGUAGUCCCUGUCUCUUAUAC
rnacentral:rRNA from 1 species